GAUGAAGAACGCAGCGAAAUGCGAUAAGUAAUGUGAAUUGCAGAAUUCAGUGAAUCAUCGAAUCUUUGAACGCACAUUGCGCCCCCUGGUAUUCCGGGGGGCAUGCCUGUCCGAGCGUCAUUACAACCCUCAAGCUCAGCUUGGUGUUGGGCCCCGCCGCCCCGGCGGGCCCUAAAGUCAGUGGCGGUGCCGUCCGGCUCCGAGCGUAGUAAUUCUUCUCGCUCUGGAGGUCCGGUCGUGUGCUCGCCAGCAACCCCCAAUUUUUUUCAGGUUGACCUCGGAUCAGGUAGGGAUACCCGCUGAACUUAAGAAUAUCAAUAAGCGGAA
rnacentral:misc_RNA from 1 species